UUCUUCUUCUUUGUCGUUAUACUCUUUGCAGUGUCUCGUGGUCAACUGUUGACAUCAGGCACAGAUGUUGCUUGCCGUACGAUUUCUCGGCAUUUUCCGCGGUUGGAGGUCAUUCUGGCAAAUGCGUUCAAGGUCUUUCCAUGGCAGUUUUAAUUUGGUCAGU